UUUACCUAAUUCAAUUGAAAUUUACUUAAUUCAACUUAGUUUUACCAAACAACUUUUAACAACAAGUGAACUAAAUUCUACCUAAUGUAACGAAAUUUAAAAAAUAUAUCUAAGUUUAAUUAAAUUUAACAAAAAAUUCUAGAUAUAACCACACUAGACUAAAUUUAUUUCAGUUGAAUUAAACUAAACUUAACUUAUUUUGGAUCUGUCAAACAUUGGCCAGUCUAUACCUAGACACUCUGUACCCGCAGCCUCCCCCCCCCCCCCACGUAGACAGAUGUCCAUACCAAAAAGUGGAGUGUGGACAAACGCCAGCCUCCACCUCCCCCGCCAAAGGGUUCACGACAAAGGGAUGCCACCAAUCGUCCAAACAAAAAUUAGAGGCUCAACUUCUAACCUCUUUCCCUCAACACAAAAAAAAACUUCUCACCUAAUCAACUGAAGAUCUCAGCCCGCAGAAAAUCUUCCUGGCUUUUAAUCCAUUCACUCACGCACCAUCUCCACCUUUUGCACUUGCACUUUCGACUUUCAAACACAGAAUCGUCACAAAACUCCGCGAACUGAGCGACUUAAACAGGAUCAAACACGAUACGAGACGUUCUCUUGCUUUGUGUUGGUCUCGAACUGAUGAUCUGUCAAAAAAUCCAUGCUGCCGGUUCCAGCUAGUUUUUCGGUAAAAAGUAGGCAAAAUUGUGCUGAAACACCAUUAUUUUUGGUAAAAUCUCUCCUGUCAUUUUGAUUUGGGCUGUCAGUUUUGGAUAGCAAAUCAGCAAUCAGGGUUAGCUAUUUCACCAAUCCCAAGUUGGUAAAUUCCUGUAAUUUUAGCUAAUUUAACCAAAAGAAUCGCUGUUCCACCAAUUUGAAGCCAGCUAAUUUGAAUUGCUAAAUUUAACAUUCCAACGCCCAAGGCUCCAAAAAAGUUGGAACGGCAACUUCAUCUUAAUGGUUCUCGGGCACAACUCAACCAAUCAAGAUAAUUCUUUUUUCCAGUGAUUUGUUAGGAUGUCUAGAUGAUUCUAGAACUUUGCAGAACUUAAUUUGAUCAAAUCUGUAAUUUUUGCGAUCAAAAACAUCGUUCCAACUUUAAAAAAAAAAUUCGCCAAAAAUUCCGCGGAGGCAGUCUUUUUAAAAAAGGUGGAACGAUGUUUUUGGUCGCAAAAAUUACAGAUUUGAUCAAAUUAAGUUCUGUAAAGUUCUAGAAUCAUCUAAACAUCCUAACAAAUCACUGGAAAGAAGAAUUAUCUUGAUUGGUUGAGUUGUGCCCGAGAACCAUUGAGUUGAAGUUGCCGUUCCAACUUUUUUGGGAGGCUUGGGCGUCCGUGUAAGUUGGACAUGCGUUGGGCGUUCCAGUGUUAAGAUGGAACUCCUUUCCGUGUGGCGUGGACAAAUCGCUCACCAGCUCGAUGUGGACCGCCUUGGUCGAAAAGCAGACGAAAAUGGCCACGUAGACUUUGGUGGGGGCGCGGUUUCGUACAGGUGACUUGAUAUAAAACGGCCCGCAGUAGUCAACGCCGCAGACAGAGAACGGACGAGUUGGUGCGACCCUCGAUGCUGACAAAUCUGCUAUGCUCUGGAUUACCAGCGUGGGUUUACUGCGGAAACAGGUGUGACAACGAUGGUAGACAGAUUUCACCAGGUUUCGUCCGCCCAAGAUCCAGUACUUCUGGCGGAGAGUGGCCAGCAUGAGGGCGGGACCUGCGUGCAGUAGUUUCUCGUGGAAGUAACUAGCCAACAGAGCCGUUAGCGGGUGUCGCGCAGAGAGAACAAUCGGGUGUUUGCUUUCGUGAGUCAGUUUGGCGUUCCGAAGCCGGCCACCGCACUAUGGGGUAUUUCCAUAUAAGCGAGCGGCCAAAAAUAUUUUUUUGCGUUUUUGUGACUUUUUUGUGUUGUUUGUACUUAGUAUAAUGAAAACAAAUGAAAUUUGAUAUUUUUCCAAAAAAAAGUUUAAUUUUCGAUUUUUUCAUAUAUUUGAGGCCACAUGCAUUAAAGUAGUGAAUUUUAAUAUUCUUGCUCUGUCUAGUUGAUGCACGGAAUGCACUAUGGGGUUUCAGGCGGCCAUAAAUCGAAAAACUGACACACUCUAAUUAUUUUUUUGGUAUUUUUUUUUCGAAAAUAAACAUUCUAACUAAGAAAAAUCCGGAGUUUGAAAGUUGUAGGUUCAAAAUUCACUGAAUUGCAGACCUUCAAAGGCGAAAAUGGUAAGAAAAAACAUGUUUUUUGACAAAAAAAUGAUUAUUUUUCAUAGUUGUACUGUGUAGCUGUUUAUGUUUAUGUAUCCUGCAUCAUUAUUUAUAUUCAGAAAGGUAAUUGAUUCAACUUUUCAAUAAUAUUUUACAAAACAUACUUUUACAGGCUAAAAAAAUAAUAAAAAUCAAAAAAGAUGGAUUUUUAUUCAAAAUUUUGUUUUUUUCAACUUUGUUAAUGGAGUACUUUUUUUGUGUGCAUUUGUGCGAUCUGAAAAUUUUGCAGCUUAAAAUUUGAACCAUGUCCUAACUUGUCUCCAAAUUUCAAAGUGCACUUAUGUGCACUUUUUGAGUUAUGCCAUUUUGAACAUUUUGAUUCAUGCAAGAAAAUUAAUGAUUACGCGUAUACGCUUGGUUAAAAUCACAUUAUUUACCUGCGGAGGCAGAAAUGACGUACCUGCUAUGUAUGUUUUGAAAUUGAUUUGAUAUUCAUGACUUUGUUGGUACCCUAAGUACGUUUAAUAAAAUUAGAAAUUCCUAUUCUAAGUAUUUUACAGAAACGAUUCGUCGAAUAUUCAUAUCAGUUCGUUGUUGUGUUCUUUUGAAAGUAUGGAUAAUAAUACCGUAGUGUCCCUGUACGAUAUAACGAAGCACUAUUCUGAAAACGUGAGAACUGCUUUCGAGUAUAUUUGUAAGAAUUACAACAUUGCAGAACCAUCACAUGAUCAACUCAGGGAAAAACCACAACCAAAAACGUGGACGAGAAUCCAUACAAUGUUCCAUAAAAUAAACCGUCUAAAAUUCUAAAACACCGCAAAAAUCAAAUUUUAAUUGGAGGGGGAGGGGGGGGGGGGGUGUCUUCAAAGAGAGGUGGAUUUUAACUCAAGAAAAAGGGGAGGGAGAUUGAACGUAAAUCAGAAACUUUAACAUAGCUGUAGAGAACAAGACGAGGAUACUCAAUAUUAAGCAAAACAACUUAAUCGAUUGAAAUAUUCAAUGCAAAAUAAAUGCUACAUGUAAGUAUGGCCAUUUGAAAUGUUAGAGUCGAAACUCGAACGGUUUUGAUUGCUGAGUGAAAUAUUCCAGCAACGCGCGAGUGACCGUAUGAGUGUGAGUGCCUCGCGCUUGCUGCUGCGCAACGUAAAGCGUCGGCAAAAAGAGAGAGAGAGCGACAAGACAAAAUCAUCGAUUGCUGCGAUGCACACGAGAGAGCCAUGUGUGUGUGCGCGACUCGGGGUCUUCAGUCUGGUUUGUAAAUUUGCAGUGGAUGGUCUUUUGACGACAUUUUCAGUUUCCAUCGUCAAGAUGGCUGCAGUGUAUUAUAAAAUAAAUAAACAAACCCGUGUUUACUACAAUAGCAUAAACCGCCAUUCCGUGCAUCAAAUAGACAGAGCAAGAAUAUUAAAAUUCACCACUUUAAUGCAUGUGGCCUCAAAUAUAUAUAUGAAAAAAUCGAAAAUUAAACUUUUUUUUGGAAAAAUAUCAAAUUUCAUUUGUUUUCAUUAUACUAAGUACAAACAACACAAAAAAGCAAAAAAAUAAUUUUUGGCCGCUCGCUUAUAUGGAAAUACCCCAUAGUGGAGUGGUUCACCGCCAGCAACAAGCCCGCAGCAAGGAUCAGCCUGCAGCCGGGAGGCAUGAACACAUGUAAGCGAUCCAACAACCCCAAAAAAAGUCUCCCGGUGAUGAAGCCAAAGCCGGGCAAGAUGAGCGGCUCGACCAACAUCAACCAACUGAUCGGCCAGCAAACGCAGUUCAACAAGUCUUGGAUAUCGGACCUGGUGCGGUCGGGCACUGAAGGUCCUGAUUUCGCCGCAGAUGUGUUAUUGAUGGAUCAUCACCGAAGCCGUUUCUCCAACCCGGUUGAUAUUGCCGGGAUGGCGUUUCAUCCCGUCAUGACCAGUUUAAGUUCAUCUGUAACACUGUUCCCGAUACAAAGGUGGACGGAAAUCUUCAAAGCAGAAUUUUAGUUUCUGUAUGAUCCACAUCACAUUCGGGAUUACCUUGAUCCUGCGCUCACUGGCUACGGAAACCGUAAUUGGUCAGAUUCGCACGAGAUUGUUUUAAGGGAGAAUUUUAAAAGAGGUUUUUCUUUUACUACUCUUUUCCGGUUUCACCGCGGUCGUGGUGGAUCGAGGACCUACAACGACGAGAAGCGCAUGUUGAUAAGAACUUUAAAUCUGGAACAAGUACGAUGCGUCCUCCUUAAACCAUCCGGACCUUCGUCGGCCCUGAGGAACAUCCGCGGGUUCGUCGAGUUGAGGUAGGUAUCAAGAAAAAGGAGAAGAAUACUUUGCUAGCUGGCUGUCCGGUGCUAAUGCAUGACGACUUUGUCGCUGCGUACAACUCGCGGAUACGCGUCAGUUCCGCAAGAUUCGGCGCCGUGGAACCGGCCACUGAGAGGUCGUGACUGUGAAUGGUGGAGAAGAAAAAAGCUAAGAUUGGGUUUUCUUUUAAAUAAAAAUGACUAGUUUUGCUGUCAUCAAACACGUUGUUUUAUUUAUGCAUUGAAAAAAAAUAAAAGAAAAAGCAGCAUUCUGACCGACUUUUUUAAAUCUGUUUUGCAUUUUUGUACUAUCACACUAUAUAAAUGCAAACAUUAUCGAGAAUCGAGAGUGGUUGAAAUGUUUUAGGAUCUUUUGCGUUCUUCAGCGUUGGAUGUGCUAGACGAAAACGGGAUAUCGCAAAAAGGGUUUGUCGUAGAUUAGCAACUUGCGAAAAUAUGUCAGCCGUCUAACCAGUUUCGUGAGAACUGACUAGCAGCUACUAUGCCGGCCUACUGUCCGACCAGCUUUUCUUCGAUCUAUCAUUGAGUGAUUGUGUCCGCCUGGGGUUCCUCCGACGGUGGUUGAGCGGUACAGCGGCAGCGUGGCGGUUUUCAUAACGGGCGAUAAGAUUGUAUUUUCUUGAUGUGACGGUUCCAAGUGCCCACAUCCGGUAGCACCUUGGGACAGUAGUCGAAGGUCUGUGAAAACAAAAUCGAUUAAACUUUAAGAAAUUCCUUAAGCUUUGGCGACAAGCUGAUCCUCGAUCUUCCUUGCGUCCACAAUGUGGUGCUUCAAAUCAUGCCACUUGCGCAAUAUUAAAAUCUCCUGGUUGGCAGUAAUCAGAUCGUUCCAAAUCUCCGGUAGCUUCAGUGGCUCCACCCCACAGUGAUCGUAAACUGCCGGAACCUCUUCCUCUGGUACGAUCAAUUCGGCCACCGGCGCUUCAUCGUACUCCUCUUCACAAUUCCCAACCCCUGAUAAUCCUCGUGAAAGUACACCGUUUGACCAACUUCAUGUACCGGAUUAAACUUCUCGCCAACCAUCGGAAUUUGCAAGGUCGUAACCUGUCCGCAUCGAAUCUCCCACGACCGUUUCUGGCACCCUCGGAAUUAUCACGUUCGGAGGUUGUCCCAUCGCUAGUAGAGUACAGCGUGUUCGCCGUCAGCUGCCGUUCUGCACCGGGAUGGUCAACCCGUUCGAAGUCACCCGGUUAGCUUCGGCAUGUUGUCGCUUUGAUGGUUGUGUCCUGGUGGUAUUGUUACAAGGGGAAAUACAAUUUUGGUGGGCGGGUUGUUGCAAGAGGAGUUUGACUGCGAGGCUGCUUAGCUCAAGGGUGGAGUUUGAGACCGGGAGCCGUUACGUUGUCAUCAGCAGCUGGACGAUGAUGUCACAUUAUUGCCCGACCUGUGAAGAUGUUAAUCGGCUUUAACGAUGGCAGGCAGAAAAAAUGAAGCCUCGUACGAUUCGUUCUACUUACUUUAGGUACAGUUGAGAAGUUUGUAUAGUAGAUCUGGUGGUCAGAGUCGUCGUUACUGUUCCACGGCUGGACGUUCCGUUACACAAAUUCAACCCGUUCAGCUUCCUACCGACAGGUUCCCGGUCGACAAACCAUCGCCGCAACUCUGGACAGAGAGGUUUGACAAUCUGAUGUUUGCCGUAGCAGAUUCGGUGGAAGAAACUUUGCAUCUUCCGUGCUCUUCCGGGACCUUCGCUGCUUUCUCCAAUACCAAACUCUUGGUGGACCUUUUUCACACAAAAGCGUUAAUUUUAUCGGAAUUUUGUGGCAUUUUGUGGCAAAUAGUUGUAAAAAAAACAUAAAUUUUCUACCACGACGAACUUCUCGAUCAAUGUGACAGCGAGAACUGUCAGUUGUACUUGACAGUUCUCGUUGUCAAAUAAUUCGAGCAGUUUGGUGAGAGAAGGCAACAAAAAAGGACAGAUAAGGCGAGCUAACGCGCGUUAGCACAAGAAAAGGUCAGAGAAGGUGGAAAAAGUAAAACGAACGUUGAAUGUUCUUGUAAAAGUUGCUUUAUCGCUAGGCCAAGGCGAAAGUUAGCCACCCCUCGCUCAGGAUUCUCCACCCACGUCCAACCGCAAAUUUUAACAGCCAAAUCAAAAAAAAAUCUGCGAGGAAAAACUCAACAACAUUUCAACCAAAGAAAAAGUCAUCCGCAUGCUUGAGCACUGAGUUGAAAAACAUCAUCAAGAAAAUUUGAAUUGUCAAGCUAUCUGAAUCACAGAUUGCUUGAUAUUUGUUUUCGAACACGAAUUUUCUUGCAAAAAACAGAAGAAGAAUACAAACGUAAA